UCUCUUUUGCAGGAAGCGGAAGCCAUGGCCGCCGCCCCGCCGCCCCGCGCCGGCCGGCCAUCGGAGCGCCGCUGACGGACCAACGCGCCGCCCUGCCCUCCUCUCCUUCUCCCCCUCCCUCUGGUUCUAUCUCUCACCUCCCUCUCUCUCUCCUUUGUAGGAAGCCACGGCCGCCGGACCUCCAUGCCUCCGCGAGCCCGCCGCCGGCCUGUGACCUCUACGCUGCCUCCAGUCCUCUCCGGACUCCUCCGUCGUAUUCUUCUCAUUCUCCGACGCUGCCAAGUUCGCCCGAGGAAGAAGCGCCGAGUUCGCCGGAGGAACAAGAACAUCCGUCCAGCCGUCCAUUGUCGCCUGAGCUACACCAGAGGUGCCAAAGGUGUUCGAUCUAACUAAGGUGGAGGCCAAGGAGGUUUAGCUCUCGGACAUUGCACCAAUGACGCUGGAUAAUACCGACAUGCAUACUGAAUUCGUCCAAGGACUGUCGGAAGAUCAGAAUUGCGGCUAAUGUCCCUUAAGAGGAGUGUACGCAUUGUGCAAGCUGGGAGAAAAGAGACUCCAGUGCAGCUCCUCUUUCUCUCCAUCUCUCUCUCUCCCUCUCAAGAUUAUUAGGGAAGGAGCGAUGGAUUGGGGUGGGUAGUGCUCUAGAUUAUUCGGUGGCCCUCGGCGGCAGAUCCUUGAAAGAAAGUUAAAAGAAGUCAAUUUUUUUUGCAUACAACGUGUCAGCCUAGGAGUGAGCACCCACCAGCGCCUCAAAUGCAUGGCAUGGGCUAUAGCUUACCACUUUAAUUCUUUCAUAUAUUAGAAGUAGACAAAUGCAAAUGUCCAUAGUAAUAAACUUGUGGUCACAAGAUUGCUAGCUUAAAGUUUGCUAGAUUAUGUA